GAUGAAGAACGUAGUGAAAUGCGAUAAGUAAUGUGAAUUGCAGAAUUCAGUGAAUCAUCGAAUCUUUGAACGCACAUUGCGCCCGCCAGUAUUCUGGCGGGCAUGCCUGUCUGAGCGUCAUUUCAACCCUCAUGCCCCUAGGGCGUGGUGUUGGGGAUCGGCCAAAGCCCGCGAGGGACGGCCGGCCCCUAAAUCUAGUGGCGGACCCGUCGUGGCCUCCUCUGCGAAGUAGUGAUAUUCCGCAUCCGAGAGCGAUGAGCCCCUGCCGUUAAACCCCCAACUUUCCAAGGUUGACCUCAGAUCAGGUAGGAAUACCCGCUGAACUUAAGCAUAUCAAUAAGCGGAGGA
rnacentral:misc_RNA from 1 species